GAUUCUUUGGUACUCAGCCUUCUCUAUGGUGCAAUUCUCACAUGUUUUGUUUCACAUUUUUCUUAUUCUGUGUGAGAGAAAGAGGUUGCAUGCUUUUCAUUUGAUUAAGGCCUGUUUGUAGUUCCUUUCCCCAUGAACUGCCUGAAUGACCAUAUUUCUGUUGGGAUGUUGGCCUUUUUUUCUGUCCAACCAGUAGAAAUUUGUUUGCUGGUUUUCUCCCAGAUCAUCAUUCAUCUUUCAAUUUUGCUCAUGCUGGCUUUUCUUGACCAAGCAGAAGUUUUGUGAUGUUUCUGUAGUUUGAAUUGAUCCAUCUUUUUCUUUUAUGGCUGCUGGAGUGUGAAUCGUAGUUAGAAAGGCCUUUCUACUCUAAGGUUGUAUCGGAAUUCUGUCAUGCUUUUUUCUAGGACUUUAAUGGUUUCAUUUUAUUGCGUAUAAAUCUUUGAUCCGUUUGGACUGUUUCCUGGCGUAUAGUGGGAGGUAUGGAUCCAACUUUAUCAUUUUCCAGAUGGCUGACAAGAGAUAUUUUUUAACAGGGAGCUGGUCCAAAACACACCAGAGAACGCUGUCUUCAGGAAAAGGUCUUAUGCCUCGGCAGAAGGUAUUGCGAAUUAUAGUGAGGAGCAGUUUUCUUUAAUUAGCAGAGAUUCGUGUGUUCAGCGAAUAUUGACUGAGUGCCCACUGUGUGUGUGGUACUGAAUACCAAGGCUGGAAGAAAUGGACCCAAGUCCUUGCCCUCCAGGAGUACUGUCUCUCUUGGGGGAAGACAGAUGAGAAAUAAGCAAUAAACAUAUACUUUUGGGGGGCCACACUGUGUGGCUUGUGGGAUCCUAGUUCCUGGACCAGGGAUUGAACCCAGGCCUAUGGCAGUGAAAAUGCCAAGUCCUAAUCACUGGACCAGGGAAGUCUCCCAUGUUACAUAGUAUAGUGAAGAUCAGAAUUGGUGUUCCAUUACUAUGACCAUAAACACUGUGCCAAACUUGGGUCGGGGAGGGGGUGGGCAGGAACGGGGACAGGGCACAGCAGGGGGCGGCGGGGACAGCCGCCCUCUGCUGUGCGGAGUCUGGGCCUCGGGCCCAUCUGAAGGCUGGUUCUCUUGAGCAUCUGGUACCUGAUGCUGGCUGUCGCCUGGGCCUGGAUUCCCCUCCCUGUGUGUCUCUCCUCAUUGUCUCUCUGCAGGUUUCCUCUGACGUGGUGGGUUCCUAGGAAAUGUUGUGCAGGGAGCAUCAGGCUGCUGUCUCCUGUGAGGAGGCUGCCUCCAGAGUCCUGCUGGGUCACCUCGGCCACAUUUUCUGUCAGAGGCAAGUCCCUAAGGCCGGUCCACAUUGAGGGGAGGGAAAUGAGUCUUCCCCUCUGGUGGGAGGAUGGUUCUAGAUGAGCUAAUGAGAACCGUCCAUGUCUCUGUGGCCCUUUUUAGGCAACAAAAUCUGCCAUCUACAGCAAGGACGGUGGGACAAGGGAAGACAGAAAAGUUCCAGUUUAAAUAUGAAUGACACGAUCAUCACCCUCGAGUCAAGGAUGACUCCAGAGCUUUUGUGCAAGAGUUGAAGUGCCAUUUACUGAUCUGAGGAUGACCAAGCAUGAGGAGUUAGGUCCGUGGAGGUCUGGAGUCAGAAGUUCUGGUUUGGAUCUUUUCAAGUUGAUGAGAUGUCCAGGAGUCUGGGAAGGUGAGAGCUCUGCCUCGAGAUUGGAGUUGGAUAUGAGAGCCUGAGCCUUGCUAGAGCAGAGAGAGCGUGAAGACAUGAGGCUAGAUGCCAGUGUUCCAGGGAAGAGAAAUGCUGUAGGUUCGUUCAUGGGCAUGUGGGCAGGCCAGCGUGGCAGUAGAGAGUGAAGGAGGGCCCAGCGACAGGGACUACGAAGGAGCUGCCAUUGGAAAGGAGGGAUGCGGUGGGGUGGGCACAACUUCACAGGUAUUUUCUAUCACAUUUUCUGUCCCUUCGAAUGAAAAUCUUUCCCAGAUGUGUGUACUUCCUCAUCUUAAAUAGAAGACGGUGAACACAAUCUGAUCUGUUAUGAGUGACCCGGUCACUUUAUAAACGUCACCUGCUGUCACACCAUUUAUAGGCAAGGCUUCCCGAGCCACCAUGGCCCACGGGCUGCUUGUCUCCAUGCCCUGCAGCCCAGGAGGCCACACCUGCCCUGGCCUUACUUUCUCCAUGUCCUCUCACCACCCCUCCGCCUUUAACCCAGGACUCUCUAGGCUGUGAUAGUUGGUCUGAGGACUGGCUUGUGAGGCACACUGGGGUCACAGGUGAAGUGGAGGCUGUCCUGUGACCUGCAGUCUCCAUUGAGGCUACUUCCAAGGCUAUUUUCUUUACUUCUUCAUUCUCCCUGGAUAAUUGCUUCCUGGAAGGUGACUGAGAUAAACGGAGGGAACUAUUAAUAUAAGAGCUAUUCUGUUGCCAAGUUAAUUUAGUUGUUCAUUAUUUACUAGGCAGUCCCGCCCCAUAUGUCCCAAACGUUGUUAGAUCAGGAUGGGGGUGGGGACGCUGCAGGGAGUGACCGAUUAGUUUGCUCACACAAGUAUUAUUCGUGGGCCUGCACACAAAGCCAACCCAAAUCCCUGCCUGUCUGUUCACAGUACAUUUUGAUUUACAGAAGGUCAGGAAGAGCCCCUGGAGGAGAACAUGGCAACCCACUCCAGUAUUCUUGCUUGGAGAAUCCCAAUGGACAGAGGAGCCUGGUGGGCUACAGUCCAUUGGGUCGCAAAGAGUCGGACAUGACUGAGUACACAUGCACACAGGACAGAGGCGAUUCUUAACCCCUGAACCAUCAGGGAAGUCCUGGCACCUUACACUUUGGAAUUUGGGGAGCCUUGAGCUGCCACAUAAGAAGUCUGACCACCCUGCUGGAAAGGCUGUGGGAAAGGCCAUAUGGACAGGCCAAGCGAAGAGGGAACAGCCCUGAGACUGCACGCAGAGGGGGCUCAACUCUUUUGACAUCCCAGCAGAGCCUGGGCUUCUCACCAUCCAGCCGAGAUACAGGUGUGUAAAUGAAUUACCCCGAAUGUUCCCACCCAGCGAAGCCCCAUACGACAGCAGCACCAGGAAAACUCUGCAGGGAGCAGAAGAACCACCCAGCUGAACCCAGUCAGUCCACAGAAUCUUGAAUGAUAACAAAGUGAUUGUUGUUUCCAUCACUCAGAUUUGAGGAGGUUUGUCAUGCUGCCCUGUGGAACUGGAACACUGCCUGAUUACCACUCAAGAGGUAGCCUCUAUCUCUGUUUCCUUUCCCCUGUGUUGUUUUUCUUCACAGCACUUAAAACAUGACAUUUAUACAUGCAUUUGUUUACUAUCUGUCUCUCCCACUGCCCUGCAAUCUCCACGAGGUGGGCAUUUUGUUUGUUCUGCUCAUCGUGUUAUCCCUGGGGCUGAGGACACUGCCUGGUUCAUGGUAGGCUCUCAGGUCAUACUUGUUGAAUGGAUGAAUGUGUAAGGACCCACUCUUCUGAGAUCAAAACAGCCUUGGUGAAAAUGACCCCUUUCCUCUGAGGAACAAAACAUCCAAUCUCCAGCUCGCAAGAACACAGAGAUCUUAGUUUGGUCCACCUGCAGCCCACUGCAGUGGAAGCAUGGAGUCCUAAGCACUGGACCACCAGGGAAGUUCCAAGAAUCCACACAUUCUUAUUGUACUCCUGCCACAUGGAAGACUGAUUGGAAAACUAAUAGACAAACAUAUUUAAUAGCAGCUUUAAACAUAUCCUGUUUUAUGUCUGGGGAAUUGCCUCUGUUCCCAGAGAGGGGACAAGAAGCAGGAGGGAAAGGAAGUUGGAAGAAGGGGUGGAGGCACCAGGCCUCAGGUAGAUGAGUGGAGGGAGAUGGCCCAGCUGUUCACACCUCCCAGGGCCUUCCCUGCACCCCACACCAUGGAACAAUCCCCCUGGAGAGGCCUCCUGGGCCCCGGAGUCUGGCCUUCUGUGCCGAGGCUCGAGUCCUGCGGCCGCCACAACAGUCCACAGGGUUGCUAUUUCAGGUUUUUCCUCAGUUCCAUCCGCCUGACGUUUUCUCAACCGGUUCCAAGCCCAGUGCACCAUUUUAGCUGACGUGGGGGAGUGUUUCGUGGGGACAGCAGAUGGAUGGGAUGACAAAUAGCAGGCUGGUGGGGACAGCUGAGAAGCACUUUUCCUGUGCAGGAGCUGUAGGCUGCGCACGUGCCCUGUGUGGUCUGGACGUGCUGAGAGCAGCAGCCUGUGUGGGGCGGUGGGCAAGCUGUGCCCCUGUCCUUUGCUGCCAAGCAUCUUGUCCAUUCAUCCAGUUGACCAGAUCAUGACUGUCCGGGCAGGAGACGGGGCUGUGAUGUGGUCCCAGGGAAGUUAAAGGGAAAGAGAAGACAGCCCAGGGUUAACCAGAAGCAAGUUAUUGCUGGGGGCUCAGGGCACCCCGAGGGGUGGGGAGCUGGCUCUUCAUCCACUGUGUGUGAUCUGUUGGCUGAGGGUGGCCCUAGGGGCAUUUAGCCCCAUGGAGCUUUGGUCCACCUGCAACACCAUGAAGCCUGCAGGCUGAAGUUCUCAGCUUCUUACUAAGAAGCCUUAGCUCAGGCUGCUAUAACAAAGUACCAUAAAUGGGGUGGCUUAGAAACAACAGAAAUGUAUUACUCCCAGUUCUGGAGGCCACAAGUCCAAGAUCAGUGGUCAGCAUGUUCUAGUGAAGGUCCUUUUCCAGUUGCAGAUGGCCACCAAAUUCUCAUUGUGUCCCCGAGAGGCGGGAGGAGAGCAAGCCAGCUCUCUGGCUUCUUCCUGUAAGGGCACUGAUUCCAUCACCAGUGUGCCCGCAACUUGGUCAUCUAGCUAUACCAGCGGCUAGCAGGCAGGCUCUCCCUUCCUCUAACUUCACCCCUUUGCCCCCACUUCCUCAUGCCUGGCCUCAGAGACUAUCCACACGACUGGCUCUGUUUAUACAGUAGUUUACAGAUUAAGAAGGAAAACGACAUACAAGUUCGUUCACAAUUGGGUCUUAUGGCCACUCCAUGAGGCACGUGAGAAGUUACCAGCUGCGUUCUGCCAUUGAGGAAACCAAGGUUUCCUACUUACCAAUAGAUGGGCCUAAGGUUAUGUGGCUAGGAAGUGACAGGUCCAGGAGCCACACCUGAGACCUUGUCCCACAGUAUGUCCCCCGUCUUAGAGCCCCUCAGAGGCCCACGGCCGUCAUGAGGGUGGGAGGGGGACAGACAGGCCAUUCUCUCCCUUUGGUCUCUGGUCUGGACUUGGUGUUUUCCUGAUAACUCGAGACCAUUCUGUGUGCUGCUCCAAAUAACCUGAGCACACUAUGAAAAAGGCCUCUUAUCUCUCCAAUUACACUAAGAAGAAAACCUCUGUAGCCGUAGCUUUUGGUGCUUCUUUAACCAAGAGAAAGUGGGCCUCAGAUUUGACCUUCAGAAAGCAAGCGAACUGAGUUAGAAUGAAGAGCACUGUUUUAUUUCUGUUGUCUUUAUUUUACAUUGCCUCCUGUUUACAGCAGGUCAUAGCUCUUUUUCAGAGUGGUGGUGAGAUACAGUUUGCUUUUGAAAUACAUUUCCUCAAAUAAGAGAGUGUUGAAAGAAAAACAUUGUGUAAAUAAUUGUCUAAGUGGUCCUUGGGUAUGGUGAACAUCCUGGUGGUGGUACAGGAUUGACAGAAGUUUAGGAAACACUCGUGCCCAAUAGAGAAGAAACGUCUUCAUUACUCGCAACAAUAACACAGCUACUACUGAGUAUCGGUUAUGUGCAAGGGACUUUACAUUUGUUAUUUCUAAUCUCUAUAAAAACCCUACAAAGUAGUUAUGAUCUUGCCCAUUUACAAACUGAGGCUCAAAGACUUUGUAUAACUUGUCUGGGUCAUGCCAUUAGCAUGGUGAAUUGUAAAAAUAGCCCCAUUUCUUCCCUUCCCUGGAUUCACACACCUUUGCAAGGUAACUUUUUGGCCUUUCUUUUCAAGAGGUAGAGUUUAACACUGGUAUAUUUAAAAUGGAUACCAAAAAUGACCUACUCUACAGCAGUGGGAACUCUGCUCAAUAUUAUGUGGCAGCUUGGAUGGAGGGGGAGUUUGGAGAGGAAGUGGAUACAUGCAUAUGUAUGGCUGUGUCCCUUUGCGGUUCACCUGAAACUAUCACAGUGUUAUUAACCGGCUAUUUGCCAAUACAAAAUAAAAAGUUUAAAAAUUAAAACGUUAAAAAAAAAAUAAAACAGCAACAAGAAAAGAGGUAGAGUUUAUUUCGAGGACACAAGACAGACAUGGAGUUUACAGUCUGCUGCUGCUGCUGCUAAGUCGCUUCAGUCGUGUCCAACUCUGUGCGAUCCCACAGACGGCAGCCCACCAGGCUCCCCCGUCCCUGGGAUU